rnacentral:tRNA from 1 species
GGGCGGGUGGUGGAACUGGAAUGCACGAGGGACUUAAAAUCCCUUGGCCGUAAGGUCGUGAGGGUUCAAAUCCCUCCCCGCCCACCA